GACGAACGCUGGCGGCGCGCCUAACACAUGCAAGUCGAACGGAGCUGAGAGAAGCUUGCUUUUCUUAGCUUAGUGGCGAACGGGUGAGUAACGCGUGAGUAACCUGCCCUGGAGUGGGGGACAACAGUUGGAAACGACUGCUAAUACCGCAUAAGCCCACGAUCCGGCAUCGGCUUGAGGGAAAAGGAUUUAUUCGCUUCAGGAUGGACUCGCGUCCAAUUAGCUAGUUGGUGAGGUAACGGCCCACCAAGGCGACGAUUGGUAGCCGGACUGAGAGGUUGAACGGCCACAUUGGGACUGAGACACGGCCCAGACUCCUACGGGAGGCAGCAGUGGGGGAUAUUGCACAAUGGGGGAAACCCUGAUGCAGCGACGCCGCGUGGAGGAAGAAGGUUUUCGGAUUGUAAACUCCUGUCGUUAGGGACGAUAAUGACGGUACCUAAAAAGAAAGCACCGGCUAACUACGUG
rnacentral:rRNA from 1 species